CAAGAGAAGACACUGAAGCCUGUUGCCACAAACCCGUAGAUCCGAACUUGUGCUGAUUCUGCACACAAGCUUGUGUCUAUAGGUAUGUGUCUGUUAGGCGAUCCCACAGUCCAGGGG
rnacentral:precursor_RNA from 7 species